UCUCCUCUAGCUUAGUGGUAGAGCGUUCGACGGAUGCGGAAGGUCAUAGGUUCAACUCCUGUUGGAAGAA